GUUUUGUUAACAGGUGAGGACAUCUCUUGGUAUCUUAAUGCACAGAAUGUCUUAAUGCCCUAUAUCUAUUCAUAAUGGAAACUAGAGAGCGACAGUUUGGGGAAGGCCUGUUCUGGUUUCAGCAAAAUAGUACCCCACACACAAAUAAAGGGCCUUACAGAAUAGGUUUGCUGAGAUGGAGGCCUGCACAGAUCCCUGACCUCAGCCCAACGGAAGCCCUGUGAGAUCAGUUGGAACACUGACUGUUGCCCCGUGCGAAGCAGACAAUACAUUUGGAGCCUGGGAAAACAGGAAAGCCUUUUUUACAUGGAUUAAAGCCCACAGAGCCUCCACAUCUGAAGAUACACAAGGAAGGAAGAGCUGGAAUGGCUAAACAGGAAAGGCUCACGUAUAUCUGUUUUAAGAAGUUCUAAUUUUGCCCUCUUGGAAGCCACUGCACUUGUGCAUCUUCUGCAGAUAUGACUUAUUUCCCUUGGCCACGACAUAGACAGAUGGGUUUGCCUCUCUGUAUUCCUGCCGUUUACAGCUGUCAGUAGCAACUACAUUUACAAAUAAGAUUGCUGAAAAUGAUUUAUUAGUGUAUA